UAGGGAAUCUUCCGCAAUGGGCGAAAGCCUGACGGAGCAACGCCGCGUGAGUGAUGAAGGUCUUCGGAUCGUAAAACUCUGUUAUUAGGGAAGAACAAAUGUGUAAGUAACUAUGCACGUCUUGACGGUACCUAAUCAGAAAGCCACGGCUAACUACGUGCCAGCAGCCGCGGUAAUACGUAGGUGGCAAGCGUUAUCCGGAAUUAUUGGGCGUAAAGCGCGCGUAGGCGGUUUUUUAAGUCUGAUGUGAAAGCCCACGGCUCAACCGUGGAGGGUCAUUGGAAACUGGAAAACUGGAGUGCAGAAGAGGAAAGUGGAAUUCCAUGUGUAGCGGUGAAAUGCGCAGAGAUAUGGAGGAACGCCAGUGGCGAAGGCGACUUUCUGGUCUGUAACUGACGCUGAUGUGCGAAAGCGUGGGGAUCAAACAGG
rnacentral:rRNA from 1 species